GAUGAACGCUGGCGGCGUGCCUAAUACAUGCAAGUCGAGCGAACAGACGAUGAUUGUGCUCUACUCACGUUAGCGACGGGCGGGUGAGUAACACGUGAAUAACCUACCUAUACGAGUGGGAUAACGUCGAGAAACCGGAGCUACUACCAGAUAAUAUAUUGAGCCGCAUGGUUCAAUAGUUAAUUACGUGUUGGCUGUCACUGCUACCUGGAUCCGCGCUGCAUGAGCUAGGUGGUAAGGUAACGGCUUACCAAGGCAACGAUGCGCAGCCGACCUGAGAGGGUGAUCGGCCACACUGGAACUGAGAGACGGUCCAGAGUCCUACGGGCGGCAGCAGUAGGGAAUCGUCGGAGAUGGGCGAAAGACUGACGGAGGAGCGCAGGGUGAGUGAUGAAGGUCUUCGGAUCGUAAAACUCUGUUCUGAGGGAAGAAUCAAUGUGUAAGUAACGAUGCACGUCGUGACGGUACCUAAACAGAAAGCAACGGCUAACUACGUG
rnacentral:rRNA from 1 species